CAGAAGAGGAGUAUGUUGAAUGUAUUGCUUGUAUGUGCCUCCUCCCUCCCCCUUUUUCCUGUCCUAUUGUUUCCCCAGCAGGGUGUUGUCCCAGGGACACUGCCAGACCAGUUUAAACUAGCUGCUUUGUCCAUCCUCAAUCUCCCAUCAGCCCUUGCUAUUGUGAGACCCCACCCCUCCUUGUACUAUAAUAUGCUAUGUACCCUAUUACAUGGAAAUGAG